rnacentral:rRNA from 1 species
GUCGGUGCAUUUACCGUGAGGGUCACACCCGUUCCCAUUCCGAACACGGCCGUUAAGCCUCGCGGGCCGAUGAUACUGCUUCAGCGGGAAAGUAGGUCAGUGCCGGCA